rnacentral:hammerhead_ribozyme from 1 species
AUCCAGCUCACGAGUCCAAAAUAGAACGAAAUGCGCAUCAAACUGGAU